UCCGGAAUCACUGGGCGUAAAGGGCGCGUAGGUGGCGUCGCAAGUCAACGGUGAAAGCUCGACGCUCAACGUCGAGUCGGCCGUCGAGACUGCGAGGCUUGAGCACUGUAGAGGCAGAUGGAAUUCCGGGUGUAGCGGUGGAAUGCGUAGAGAUCCGGAAGAACACCGGUGGCGAAGGCGGUCUGCUGGGCAGUUGCUGACACUGAGGCGCGACAGCGUGGGGAGCAAGCAGG
rnacentral:rRNA from 1 species